UUUCCGUAGGUGAACCUGCGGAAGGACCAUUCAUAAUAAAGUGUUUUAUGGCACUUUUUAAAAAUCCAUAUCCACCUUGUGUGCAAUGUUAGAUCUCGUCAAUCUUGGCGAGAUUUUUAUACAUCAACUCAUUUUUUAACUAAUUUGUCUGAAAAAUAUUAUGAAUACUUAAUCCAAAAUACAACUUUCAACAACGGAUCUCUUGGCUCUC
rnacentral:misc_RNA from 1 species